UACAGAGGUCCCAAGCGUUGUUCGGAUUCACUGGGCGUAAAGGGUGCGUAGGCGGUCGGGCAAGUCUGCCGUGAAAUCUUCAAGCUCAACUUGGAAACUGCGUCGGAUACUAUUCGGCUAGAGGAAUGGAGGGGAGACUGGAAUACUUGGUGUAGCAGUGAAAUGCGUAGAUAUCAAGUGGAACACCAGUGGCGAAGGCGAGUCUCUGGACAGUUCCUGACGCUGAGGCACGAAAGCCAGGGGAGCAAACGGG
rnacentral:rRNA from 1 species